GACGAACGCUGGCGGCGUGCCUAAUACAUGCAAGUCGAGCUAGCGAAACUAACAGAUUUACUUCGGUAAUGACGUUAGGAAAGCGAGCGGCGGAUGGGUGAGUAACACGUGGGGAACCUGCCCCAUAGUCUGGGAUACCACUUGGAAACAGGUGCUAAUACCGGAUAAGAAAGCAGAUCGCAUGAUCAGCUUUUAAAAGGCGGCGUAAGCUGUCGCUAUGGGAUGGCCCCGCGGUGCAUUAGCUAGUUGGUAAGGUAAAGGCUUACCAAGGCGAUGAUGCAUAGCCGAGUUGAGAGACUGAUCGGCCACAUUGGGACUGAGACACGGCCCAAACUCCUACGGGAGGCAGCAGUAGGGAAUCUUCCACAAUGGACGCAAGUCUGAUGGAGCAACGCCGCGUGAGUGAAGAAGGUUUUCGGAUCGUAAAGCUCUGUUGUUGGUGAAGAAGGAUAGAGGUAGUAACUGGCCUUUAUUUGACGGUAAUCAACCAGAAAGUCACGGCUAACUACGUG
rnacentral:rRNA from 1 species